CCUUGCUAGUGGCAGAGUUGGUGUGU
rnacentral:piRNA from 1 species